AGAUCAAAGCAGAUUUUGAUUUGAUCAAAAUCAACAAUAGGGGCAUACUGACGUUACUGCAACAGCAGGAGGAAUGUGGAGGACAUGCGUGCGGAAACGCUGCUUCUCUUGAAAAGCUCAAACAUGACCUCGAAACCCUUACUCAGCGAGUAUCAUCAGUCGAAGAAUCGGUACAAGAGAGGAUCGAAAGGAAACGAAAUGGGAAACAAACGCGUCAUCGCUUCGACGAGUUUCAUACGCAGGUAGAUGAAAUGCAAAGUCUUCUCCGUCAUGUGCAAAUUGGAAGCAUUACGAAUAGUAAAUUCGAUUCCACACAUGUUAGGGAUUCUUCGGGGAAUAACUCUGUACUAGAGACUGAUAAAAGUACAGUCAUAAGUGAGGCUGGAGUACAAAUCCAUGUGGGUGGCGCAGUACAGAGAAAUGCCAAUGUUCCAAACCGUGAUCAGCAUAGCUGCAAUUCAGACAAUACUGCUCGCACAACACGGACAGAUUUGGGUUCAUCAUCGUGAGUAUGAAUUGCACUAACUAACACAAUGUUUGAUGCGAGGCAAUGUAUUUAAAACUGAAACCAGUCAACGAGAAUUAAUACAUCAGAUUUCGUCUGAUCCAAUUGCAGUAGGAGAAACAAGAACGAAUCCACCCGGAGUCGUGACCUUAUCGGGACAGGCUACGACUUUGGCAAUUGACAAAGACGUCUGGAUCGAUGCAUCGAUAAUGGCAAUGAAUGACGCCCGGUUACAGAGGCGCUCUUUAAAAGGAUUUCAUACCGUCUUGUUGCUAGACAUAUCAGAAAGUAUGCUUUCUGAUAAC